rnacentral:rRNA from 1 species
UCCUCCCUCUUUCUUCGUGCCUAAUACAUGCAAGUAGAACGCUGAAGAGAGGAGCUUGCUCUUCUUGGAUGAGUUGCGAACGGGUGAGUAACGCGUAGGUAACCUGCCUUGUAGCGGGGGAUAACUAUUGGAAACGAUAGCUAAUACCGCAUAACAAUGGAUGACACAUGUCAUUUAUUUGAAAGGGGCAAUUGCUCCACUACAAGAUGGACCUGCGUUGUAUUAGCUAGUAGGUGAGGUAAUGGCUCACCUAGGCGACGAUACAUAGCCGACCUGAGAGGGUGAUCGGCCAAACUGGGACUGAGACACGGCCCAGACUCCUACGGGAGGCAGCAGUAGGGAAUCUUCGGCAAUGGGGGCAACCCUGACCGAGCAACGCCGCGUGAGUGAAGAAGGUUUUCGGAUCGGAAAGCUCUGUUGUAAGUCAAGAACGGGUGUGAGAGUGGAAAGUUCACACUGUGACGGUAGCUUACCAGAAAGGGACGGCUAACUACGUG